AAGAAAGGGGGUGGGGAUGUAGCUUGGUGAUAGAAUACUGACCUAGCAACCAUGAGGUCCUACAUCAGUCCUAGUCUGGGCAGGGGGACAGAACACACACCCUGUGGGAGCAUGGGCUUCCAGCACCUGGUCGGGAUGAUAGCUCAAACAACAGUGCUGGAUUAGCCAAAACGUAUUUCUAACAGCAACCCGAAACAGCUGGAACCAGGAAAGUGCCUGUGACUAAUUGGAAGUUGAGCAGAAGAGCAAGAAGUGAAGGUUAACAGAGGGAGAAGCGGUCACAUGUUCCUUCAGAAGAGGUGUGAAGUAGGCAGGUGGAAAAAUACAGACAAGUGGGGAAAAGGAGAAUGCACCAGUCAGCACCAAGCUGGGGCAGAAGUGAUGGAUUCUGUAAGGAUAAUGGAAAGUCAUUUCAUUAUGUGCGGCUAACAGACGGGAUAGUCUUUUGUGUGCAUGAAAAUGAGUUUGCCGAACAAUUCCACCACUGAUUGUUGAGUCUUAGAAGAUAUUUUUGUGUUGGGCAGGGCCAAGAGGGAAAGCUGACAAUGCGUGACAAAAGACUAUCCAACCAAGGAGUAGCAUAAGUCAUGUAUGUGUCAUGGCAACUAAGCCCAGAAGAAUUUGGGGGUAAAAUGGAAAGCAGCAUUGGAAGUGCAGAAACACGGGAGCCAACAGACUGACGAUGGUGUUGAGUAUCUCAUCCAUGGUCACUGCUCCAAGCACCACCCUGGCCCGAAUCUUCAAUCAUUUGUGGCUUUGGCUUAGUAGGCAAGUUCAAGCUUUGCUCUCUGGACUUCAUGGCUCCUUCCUACCUAGUGUUAAGUUAUGUGAGUCAGCCUGAGUCAGCUUCAAGAACUUUCCUUCACCAUUCUUUUGUGCUCCUGACAAGAGAGGCCAGCAUAGUUCAUCUCAGAAGUGGAGGGAUGGGAAGUAUGGCUGAAUCAACAAAGCGGGGCCUUUUGGCUACCCUGCCGUACCAUGGAAUCUAGGACGAGAGAGAAAGGUGUGACCCAGAACAGUAGCUCACUUCGGUGGAGGAAACUAUCCGAAGGCAUCUAUGUUAUUAAAUCUUCUAUGCAAGGAACAUUUUGUUCACUGAUUCUGGGCUACAACUUAAUAAUAAAAAUUACAGAUUCCUCAACUCACCCACAAGGAGCCUAUCAUCUUUGACAUUCUUAUGGGACACAAUGGAGGCUUUGUCAAGGCCCAAGCUGAUUUGGGGUGUGUUCCGUUUCUGGGGUGCUCCUCUUGCAAAGAAUAGACAGACACUCCAUCCAACCUGGCUAAGAAAGAAUUCCCAUGAAAUGAUCAGCUGACUCUAGGAAGAAAAAAGAACAGCAAAAGAGUUUGAGACAGGGAUACUGUUGUAUGCUAAUGCUUAUCAACUGGUUGAUAAAGGCACUAUGCACACGAUAGAUACUUCCCUAAUUCUUAUGCCAACUUAACAUGGCAGGUUACAGGACGUUUACCUCACAGGUGAAGGAAACUGCCGGGGUCAGAAAAGUCACACAAUGGAACCAGACUUCCAGCCACUGAUAUCAGCUAUCAAGUUCUACGUUUCCCCUUCUUGUGCAUCUACAAAAGACCUUAGAGCAUGCACAUGGCCCGAACAAGGGGGAGAACUCGCUCUAGGCUGGCCUCGAACACACAGAGAUCCACCAGCCUCUGCCUCCCGAGUGCUGGGAUUAAAGGCGUGUGCCACCAAAGCCUGGCCACAGUUUCUCCCUCUACGCACUUUAAAAGUGGCUUUUGCUCAGCACUUCUAGGAGUUCCUGGUACCAUGUAUGACCUACGUGCGUCAGAUUCACAGCUCACUCGUUGUCUGUUCCCACCACCACCUCACAGGCUCUGAAGACUAGCUGCCGCUGAUGCUUUUAAGAGUCUACAGACCCCAUGUCCCCCAGAGUCAUGCUUCAUGAUGCCUUUGAACAUGCCUGUGCUCACCUGUGAUCUCCAACCCUCCAUACCCUGGUUCUAGGCAUGCUACUGCCAUUUAUCAUAUUUUAUUGUGAUGGUUGAUUCAUUUACCACACUUAAUUUUAGACAAAUAAUCAAAGGUUGUUUCUUCCUUCUACAUCCCCAAUGAAAACACUAGUGCCCCAGUGUUUUUCUAGAAAUCUUCAUUUCUAUUUUGUCUCUGCGAUAUGGACAAUGAAGUUAAAGGGGACACAACAUAAUUUGCAUUGGAAAUUCAGGCACCUCUCUCCUUUGUUGACAUCAGACCUUCAUCCUUUGGCAUUACCAGUCUUUAGAGAAUUUAUUAAAACAGGUGUGGAAUGAUGGUGCCAUGCUGGAGAGGAACAGUGUUUUCAAGCUUCAUCAACUAAAGAAAUCAUUCUGUCUACCAUGAUUUAUUAACAAUGAUCUGAAGGCUCAAGGGUAUAAGUGUGGCCAACUUCAGACCUAUUUGUGGUCAAUUCCAGAUUUAAUUUCAGGUCUUCUGAUAUCCAGAUCAGAGAACUCCAUCACACCUCUGUACCGUCUCUUCCAAACUAUGUCUUUGUUUCUUCAUUUCCUCUCUCCAAACUGUCUUAUUUUUUUUCUUCCUGAAUGAUUGGCAAAGCCACUGUCUGUUAGACGACACAGAGGGUCAGAAAGAUGAAAUGACUGGUCCCUGGGGUUCGGUGACUAUCACUGAGGAAGGAGGACAAAACACCAACAACAGACAGCUGCUGACUUAGAAGUCAAGGAUUCCACAUUUUUGGAUUGUCUGCAGUUGUAUUAUUGGCAAAUAAGAUUUGUGGAUGCUGAGCUAUACAGUAGCUAUUUUACCUUAGGGUUUGAUACUAGCUUUUUCAAAUAAAAUUAAUGUGGUUACAAUUUUGAGGGACAGGGAAGAGAGGCAUUUAUCUGGAAACAUUAUCUUUCAGACAAGAAUGUUUUAAUGACCAAUACCUGCAAAACUACGUGUUCUUUUCUGUGUAAGAACAUACAAUGUCGUUUCCCGAUGUUUCAAAUGCCUGCCUGACUUGGUAGCAAGCUCACAGGAACUGUGGCUACAGUCAUUGGCCACCUACUAUGGCCAAGACAAAAGCAGGAGGCAGAGGCUUGUCAGGACAAGGAGCAUGGUUGCUCUAUGACUCCAAACACAAGUUUUUAGUGGCACAGAAAACAAACAGCUUCAAGGGGUUGAGUUGAAAGGGUGUCUUCCAAGUGAGGGAAUGCCAAAGGGUUUCAGGAGGAGCUGAGCUUUGGAAGAACGAGACUCAGGAAAGAGGGCUAAAAAGGAAAGAGAUUUGAAGCAGAGAAGAUGGGCUUCUGAGGUCCUGAAAUCAACAACAUGCUCCUUAGACUUUAUUAAAGAUCUCCAUUGGAUUAUAUUCAAAUUUUUCUUCUAGUGUAUUCCUCCCCCCUACAAAAAAAAAAAAAAAAAA